GGGCUUGUAUGAUGGACAAACGAGGGCCAAGCUGUCUCCUGAAUACACAUAAAAAUUGGCCUUUAGGUGAAAAGACCUAAAUCUAAUCAAAGGACAAGAAGACCCCGUAGAGCUUUGUUCUUUUAUAGUAUAAAGGAAAGUAUUAUAUUUUUUCUUUAUAUCUAAAAAAAGAGCUCAGCUGGGGCGGCUGAGGAAAAAUUAAUCUUCCAUUUUUAUCAGAUCUUUUAAUAGCGCACAAAGGCUUUACGCCAUAACUUAAAUUGACCCCACGUUGGAUCAGAAAAAAUAGCUACCUCGGGGAUAACAGAUUAAUCCUUCUUGAGAGUUCGCAUUGACAGAAGGGC
rnacentral:rRNA from 1 species